GCUAACCUUAGGCAACAAUAGUAUGUAAUGCCACGAGUGGCAAACAGCUUGCCAGAAGUAGUUCCAAGACCAGUAAGCAUUGAUGACCAGUCAGUGGGAGAAGAAAAAUCUAUUGAAGUGAUCUACCUUCCAAGUUGUACAAUGGAUACCCUUCCCCUACCCGUCUUGUUGGAAGAGGCUGCAUUGGGAAGAGGAUGCAUCAACACCCUGGAAAGAUGUUUGUGGUGCAUUCACUCAUCAUUUUGUUGCGAUAAAUGAGUGUAAUGUAAUCUUCUUCAAGCCUGAUAAGUACAUGCAGUUAUUAAGCUUUGGACGAAGGACUUCCACAAGGCCGCCAUCUCCAAAGUUCACUCAAAAAGGCAAUCGUUUUUUUUGUGUGUAUAUUAUUAUUUUUUCACUUACAUUGGUUGAAAGCUAAUUUCUCAUCAGUAAAUCACUUAGUUCAUGAACAUUUGGAAGUUAAACAUCCUAAGGUUCAAAUCCCCAUAACCCAUAGUGUUCACAUUUCUCUCAUGUAAAUAU